CAGAUUGGGGAUGGAUAUUUUCGUUAUCGUUUAUAAAAAAACAGUAAUUAUAAUAUAUAUAUAUAUAUUUUUUGUGAUAUCUGGUAAGUCUAUUUACCGGGUUAAUGAGUAAUAAAUUUUCAAUAUUUAGGCUCAAAUUACCAGGACUGUUUUAUUACUUUAAUUCAAAAUAGUGAUAACGAAACGCGUUAUAAUCUUGUUUAUUUUUUAUUGUGACAUAAAUUAUUGAAAUUUCCUUUAAUGCAAAAAGCCAACUUUAAUUUUCAGGUUCGUAAUACUACAUCGCAGCCAAACUUAACAAAGUUGGCGUAACGUCUACAUAAGUGAUGGUGCUGUGAGUGUUGCGGCCCAAGCGUUCAUCUGUGUUGUAUCCUGUGCUAUCGGGCUGCUAGUAGUGCUUAUAUUAUUCGCCGCAGACGUUUUUUAAAGUUCGUCAUGAUUUUAAACCCAAAAUAUUGGUGCUGUAAAAGAAUGGACGUCAAGUUAUCAAGUGAAUAUUUGAAAUGGUAUCGUGAAUGCAUUUGUACAUUUAAUUAUGUAUCGCAUUUGAUAAAUAUAUUUGUGAAUCAGUU